AACGCGAAGAACCUUACCUGGACUUGACAUCCUCGGAACCUGCUAGAGAUAGCGGGGUGCUCGCAAGAGAGCCGAGAGACAGGUGCUGCAUGGCUGUCGUCAGCUCGUGUCGUGAGAUGUUGGGUUAAGUCCCGCAACGAGCGCAACCCUCGCCUUUAGUUGCCAUCAUUCAGUUGGGCACUCUAGAGGGACUGCCGGUGUUAAACCGGAGGAAGGUGGGGAUGACGUCAAGUCCUCAUGGCCUUUAUGUCCAGGGCUACACACGUGCUACAAUGGCCGGUACAAAGCGUCGCCAACUCGCAAGAGGGAGCCAAUCGCAAAAAACCGGUCUCAGUUCGGAUUGGAGUCUGCAACUCGACUCCAUGAAGUCGGAAUCGCUAGUAAUCGAAGAUCAGCACGCUUCGGUGAAUACGUUCCCGGGCCUUGUACACACCGGUACUA
rnacentral:rRNA from 1 species